rnacentral:rRNA from 1 species
GCCCGGCGAAAGCCGGAUUAAUACCGCAUACGCUCUACGGAGGAAAGGGGGGGAUCUUAGGACCUCCCGCUACAGGGGCGGCCGAUGGCAGAUUAGCUAGUUGGUGGGGUAAAGGCCUACCAAGGCGACGAUCUGUAGCUGGUCUGAGAGGACGACCAGCCACACUGGGACUGAGACACGGCCCAGACUCCUACGGGAGGCAGCAGUGGGGAAUUUUGGACAAUGGGCGAAAGCCUGAUCCAGCAAUGCCGCGUGUGUGAAGAAGGCCUUCGGGUUGUAAAGCACUUUUGUCCGGAAAGAAAACCUCCGCCCUAAUAUGGUGGGGGGAUGACGGUACCGGAAGAAUAAGCACCGGCUAACUACGUGCCAGCAGCCGCGGUAAUACGUAGGGUGCAAGCGUUAAUCGGAAUUACUGGGCGUAAAGCGUGCGCAGGCGGUCCGCUAAGACAGAUGUGAAAUCCCCGGGCUUAACCUGGGAACUGCAUUUGUGACUGGCGGGCUAGAGUAUGGCAGAGGGGGGUAGAAUUCCACGUGUAGCAGUGAAAUGCGUAGAGAUGUGGAGGAAUACCGAUGGCGAAGGCAGCCCCCUGGGCCAAUACUGACGCUCAG